AUGCACGCUGGCGGCGUGCCUCAUCCCUGCAAGUCGCGCGAACGGACGAGAAGCUUGCUUCUCUGAUGUUAGCGGCGGACGGGUGAGUAACACGUGGAUAACCUACCUAUAAGACUGGGAUAACUUCGGGAAACCGGAGCUAAUACCGGAUAAUAUUUUGAACCGCAUGGUUCAAAAGUGAAAGACGGUCUUGCUGUCUCUUAUAGAUGGAUCCGCGCUGCAUUAGCUAGUUGAUAAGGUAACGGCUUACCAAGGCAACGAUGCAUAGCCGACCUGAGAGGGUGAUCGGCCACACUGGAACUGAGACACGGUCCAGACUCCUACGGGAGGCAGCAGUAGGGAAUCUUCCGCAAUGGGCGAAAGCCUGACGGAGCAACGCCGCGUGAGUGAUGAAGGUCUUCGGAUCGUAAAACUCUGUUAUUAGGGAAGAACAUAUGUGUAAGUAACUGUGCACAUCUUGACGGUACCCAAUCAGAAAGCCACGGCUAACUACGUG
rnacentral:rRNA from 1 species